rnacentral:rRNA from 1 species
GUCGAGAAUCUUCCGCAAUGCGCGAAAGCGUGACGGAGCGACACCGCGUGAUGGAUGAAGUCCUUCGGGGCGUAAACAUCUUUUAUAAAGGAGGAAAUUUUUGACGUUACUUUAUGAAUAAGGGGCUCCCAAUCUCGUGCCAGCAGGCGCGGUAAUACGAGAGCCUCAAGCGUUAUCCGGAAUCAUUGGGCGUAAAGGGUGCGUAGGUGGUUUGAUUAGUCUCCCGUUAAAACUUCGAGCUUAACUCGAAAAGAGCGGGGGAAACGGUCAAACUAGAGUAUGUGAGAGGUGUGUGGAACUCAUGGUGUAGGGGUGAAAUCCGUUGAUAUCACGGGGAACACCAAAAGCGAAGGCAGCACACUGGCACAUCACUGACACUGAGGCACGAAACCUAAGGUAGCGAAUGGGAUUAGAUACCCUAGUAGUCC